rnacentral:rRNA from 1 species
GAUGAACGCUGGCGGCGUGCCUAAUACAUGCAAGUCGAGCGAACGGACGAGAAGCUUGCUCCUCUGAUGUUAGCGGCGGACGGGUGAGUAACAUGUGGAUAACCUACCUAUAAGACUGGGAUAACUUCGGGAAACCGUAGCUAAUACCGGAUAAUAUUUUGAACCGCAUGGUUCAAAAGUGAAAGACGGUCUUGCUGUCACUUAUAGAUGGAUCCGCGCUGCAUUAGCUAGUUGGUAAGGUAACGGCUUACCAAGGCAACGAUGCAUAGCCGACCUGAGAGGGUGAUCGGCCGCACUGGAACUGAGACACGGACCAGACUCCUACGGGAGGCAGCAGUAGGGAAUCUUCCGCAAUGGGCGAAGGCCUGACGGAGCAACGCCGACUGAGUGAUGAAGGUCUUCGGAUCGUAAAACUCUGUUAUUAAGGAAGAACAUAUGUGUAAGUAACUGUGCACAUCUUGACGGUACCUAAUCAGAAAGCCACGGCUAACUACGUG